CCCCGCACUCAGCCACACCUGCCCCCUCGAUGCCCUGUCUGCUAAAUCAUCAAGCCUCCAGAACGGCUGGGCCCUCACUCUGUCAGCGUCUAACGCAACACUUGAGGCCAGCCGACGAAGCCUUUCCUCCCACGCCCUUUGGAACCGUCUAGUGUGUUAGCCUCUUCGAUAACACUCUUGGUUCUCCUGGAGGAUGCCCUUCCCUGGCAUUCCGGGGCGGGGGGACGCUGCUCAUCCUUGUGCGCGUGCACACACACACCCAUCUCAAGGUACCGACGUUGGGAUACAGCCUUCCACGGAUAAGCAUCAUCUCCUCCGCCACACCACCAGCUGUAGGGCAGGGUAACCGCACCCGCUGCUCCAGAGGGUGGACCCUGAUUAGUCUAAGCCAAUCAUCGGUCUCUUGCCAGUGAUUGGUGCAGGAGUCAGCAUGUGACCCAAUUCUGGCCAACGAGAUGUGAGGAGAGGUCUGCUCAGGGACUUCUGGGAAAGGAUUCCUCGCUUCUAGGAAGGAGACUACGGAAAGAAUGCCUGUUUUCUGCCGUUGAGCACUGAUGGGCCUGAGUGUGAUUCCUGGAACUGCUCCGACCAUCUUGCAAUCGUGAGGGUCGACAGUGUUUCGAUGAAGUUGAGGCAGUGCAAUGGAAGGAACCUCGAUGAUGUUACUGUAUUAUUGAGCCCUAUUACACUGAAAAAUCUCCUUCCUCUGGACUUCCUAUCAAGUGAAAUAAUAGAGGCGUUAUUAUUUGUCAUCUAUAAUCAAGAUAUCCUAGCUGAGGCAGCCCUGCGCUUCUCCCACCUCCUGGGGACUCCUCCCCUAUCCAGAACUGAUGAUGGCCACCAGUGCCUGUCCUCCAGAACCCUUUGCAUGGUAUUAUCCAGUAUUUCUCUCCAGCCUCACAUCCAGACCUGCUUCACCGGGCUUCCUCUGCUUCAGGCUACCAGUUUGAUGUCACUGAAGAGGAAGUCAGUGAAAGUGGUGCAAAGAGCCGGUUCUCACAAGACUGUACAAGCCAGCUGCAGUGGACCAGUGACGCGGAAACAUGCACCCGCCUCCAGACAGCGCCUCAGGAGCGGGCAGGACCUUUUACGGGGUGAUUCCUGGGUGCCUGGGACUGAAACCCUAGUUUAA
rnacentral:lncRNA from 1 species